AGAGAUCAUGGCUCAGAAUGAACGCUGGCGGCGUGCUUUACACAUGCAAGUUGAGCGAGGCGGCCCGCAAGGGCCAGUCGAGCGGCGAACGGGUGAGUAACGCGUGGAUAACCUGCCCUUUAGUGGGGAAUAACCCGGGGAAACUCGGGCUAAUACCGCAUACGAUCGAGAGAUCAAAGGGGGCUCGCAAGAGCUCCUGCUGAAGGAGGGGUCCGCGUUCGAUUAGCUAGUUGGUAGGGUAAUGGCCUACCAAGGCGACGAUCGAUAGCCGGCCUGAGAGGGUGAUCGGCCACACUGGAACUGAGACACGGUCCAGACUCCUACGGGAGGCAGCAGUGGGGAAUUUUGCGCAAUGGGCUAACGCCUGACGCAGCAACGCCGCGUGGAGGAUGAAGGUCUUUGGAUUGUAAACUCCUGUCAGCAGGGAAAAAGGGAUAAGACCUAAUACGUCUUAAACUUGAUUGUACCUGCAGAGGAAGCCCCGGCUAACUCUGUGCCAGCAGCCGCGGUAAUACAGAGGGGGCAAGCGUUAUUCGGAAUUAUUGGGCGUAAAGGGCGCGUAGGCGGCUUUGCAAGUGACGGGUGAAAUCCCUCGGCUUAACCGAGGAACUGCCUGUCAGACUGUGAGGCUUGAGACCGGGAGAGGUGAGUGGAAUUCCCAGUGUAGCGGUGAAAUGCGUAGAUAUUGGGAGGAACACCAGUGGCGAAGGCGGCUCACUGGACCGGUACUGACGCUGAGGCGCGAAAGCGUGGGGAGCAAACAGGAUUAGAUACCCUGGUAGUCCACGCCGUAAACGAUGAGUGCUUGGUGUAGCGGGUAUCGACCCCUGCUGUGCCGAAGUCAACACAUUAAGCACUCCGCCUGGGGAGUACGGUCGCAAGACUGAAACUCAA
rnacentral:rRNA from 1 species